rnacentral:tRNA from 1 species
GAGGGUAUAGCUCAGUGGUAGAGUGUGUGCCUGGCAUGCACAAAGUCCUGGGUUCAACCCUCAGUACCUCUA